AUAUUAGUUUUUUAAGAUCUAAUUUUACCAAGAGAGAAGUAUGCUGUUCCCAAGGGAGUUCUCUGUGCAGACUGCAGCUACUGAAACCCUUUUCUCUAAGUUGUACACUGGAUGUGCUUUUGCAUUUUCUGCAUACCAGUGAUGGUAGGAAGGGAUCCCCGAAGAGGAGCAUUCCUUGAGACCAUCAACAGCAUUAAUUCAGUGCACUGGAGUCCUUGGAACUGGUAUCCUGGAACACCAUUGCCUAUCAAUUUUCUGAGGAUUCUCUUGACACCAGGAGAGCUGUUAUAUUUAGAUGCUUAUCUGCUUUUGACUGCAGUGCAGUGCUUGCGAAGAUGUCUUUCAUUUUGAGGCUUAACACAUUAAAUAUCACCUGAUCUGAAGAUGUUUGAGGGUGUAGAGCCUGUGGCAUAGAAUAAAUGUCUUGUCUAAAAAUAGCGUUACA
rnacentral:lncRNA from 1 species